GAUGAACGCUGGCGGCGUGCCUAAUACAUGCCAGUCGAGCGAACGGACGAGAAGCUUGCUUCUCUGAUGUUAGCGGCGGACGGGUGAGUAACACGUGGAUAACCUACCUAUAAGACUGGGAUAACUUCGGGAAACCGGAGCUAAUACCGGAUAAUAUUUUGAACCGCAUGGUUCAAAAGUGAAAGACGGUCUUGCUGUCACUUAUAGAUGGAUCCGCGCUGCAUUAGCUAGUUGGUAAGGUAACGGCUUACCAAGGCAACGAUGCAUAGCCGACCUGAGAGGGUGAUCGGCCACACUGGAACUGAGACACGGUCCAGACUCCUACUGGAGGCAGCAGUAGGGAAUCUUCCGCAAUGGGCGAAAGCCUGACGGAGCAACGCCGCGUGAGUGAUGAAGGUCUUCGGAUCGUAAAACUCUGUUAUUAGGGAAGAACAUAUGUGUAAGUAACUGUGCACAUCUUGACGGUACCUAAUCAGAAAGCCACGGCUAACUACGUG
rnacentral:rRNA from 1 species